rnacentral:rRNA from 1 species
UCAAGCUUGCUUUGGUUUGGUGAGAGUGGCGCACGGGUGCGUAACGCGUGAGCAACCUACCCUUGUCAGGGGGAUAGCCCGGCGAAAGUCGGAUUAAUACCGCAUGACAUCAUUGAGAGGCAUCUUUCGAUGAUCAAAGAUUUAUCGGACAAGGAUGGGCUCGCGUGACAUUAGCUAGUUGGUAAGGUAACGGCUUACCAAGGCUACCAUGUCUAGGGGCUCUGAAAGGAGAAUCCCCCACACUGGUACUGAGACACGGACCAGACUCCUACGGGAGGCAGCAGUAAGGAAUAUUGGUCAAUGGACGGAAGUCUGAACCAGCCAUGCCGCGUGCAGGAAGACUGCCCUAUGGGUUGUAAACUGCUUUUAUACGGGAACAAACGUCGGUACGUGUACCGGUCUGAGUGUACCGUAAGAAUAAGGAUCGGCUAACUCCGUGCCAGCAGCCGCGGUAAUACGGAGGAUCCGAGCGUUAUCCGGAAUUAUUGGGUUUAAAGGGUGCGUAGGCGGCCGGAUAAGUCAGGGGUGAAAGUCGGCAGCUCAACUGUCGCAGUGCCUUUGAUACUGUUUGGCUUGAAUUCGGUUGAAGAUGGCGGAUGAGACAAGUAGCGGUGAAUGCAUA